rnacentral:lncRNA from 7 species
UCUUCGGCCACUUUCUUUCUCCACUGCAGUCGCGCUGCCCCACGCUGCUCCUGCCUCAUGGCACCAAUAGUGGUGGCCCUCAUCCUCGGUGUGUGACAAUGGGGACGUGGAGCCACGGGGUGGGUGGUCCUGUGUGGGACCUGAACCGUGUCCCUUGCAGGUUGGUGGCUGGUGGCAGCGAGCAGGGCACAGCAGACCUUGCACCGACCAUCCCUGUCACUGCACCCCAGCCAGGGGGUGUCCCUGGGGGACACUGUCACCCUGCGUUGCCACCUGCCCCGCAUGGCUGCCUGGGUCCAGCUCUGGCACAAUGGAACUCUGAGAUUUAACAAGGAAAAAGACAAGGAGUAGGAUGCAGCUGAGUUCUCCUUUGCUGUCACAAACCUGGAGGACGCCGGGACAUAUCAGUGUCGGUACCAGGUGUCAGAGCCUCUGUGGACAUCAAAUCAGAGUGAUCCCGUGGAGCUGGUGCUGACAGAGCCCACAGGUGCCAAGAGGUGGUCCUAUGUGAACCUGCUGGUGGUGGUGGUGAAGGUCUGUUCUGCUCUCUGGCCCUCAGCUCGGGCCUCUACUUUUACUUCAAUGGCUGCAGCCUCUGGAAACGGAGAAAUGAGAGCGCAGGUGUCAGCCCUGAGAUGCCCGAGUCAGUGCAAUUCCAGGGGUUCCCACGAACAACGAGGAUCUGACCUACGCCGAGAUGCCAGCUGCCAUCCCGUGCCCCCAGCCUCCCACUUACCCCACUGCCCCCCAGUCCCCUGUCAUCUACACCACAGUGAGCACUGAUUUAUCGCGCUGAUGGGCCUCCCCAAGUGUCUCAUUUCAGGGGUGUGUGGAAGGGGACAGACCUCAAAUUCCCUGCUUGGGACUCCCAGAUGUCCUGUUCUAAGCGCAGACCAUAUAGCUUCCCCAAAUCUAACAAUCCCAAAUUCUCACUGGUGCAUCCCAAAUGCUUUCCAGACACACCAAAUCCCUAAAUGCUCAUCUCUUACCCCAAAGUCCUUCUUUAUCCCCUCAAAUGUCUUAACAGUCCUGAGACCUCCAAAUGCUCUCCCAUCCACUCCCAAACACCACCACCAUUCCUCUGAGACCCCCUCAUCUGUCCCUAUCUACCCUCCUCUGGAGAUCCCCAGACACGUCCCUUUGCUCCCCUUCCAUCUCCCACUGAUGCUCGAGAGAUCCCCUAUAAAUUCCCCAAUAUUUCCUGCCUCCUAUUCUGUUCCAGUUUUAUCAUUGGUCUUUGGGUGCUGAGCAAUUCCUUUGUGCAUCACUUGCUUUGGAAAAAUAUGUUCAUAUAUCUCAUCAUCAUUACCGUUAUGUCUCUCCUCGUUUUCGGUCUCAGUAAAUAGAUUUUAUCUGAAC